GAUGAAGAACGUAGCGAAAUGCGAUACGUAAUGUGAAUUGCAGAAUUCAGUGAAUCAUCGAAUCUUUGAACGCACCUUGCGCCCUUUGGCCAUUCCGAAGGGCAUGCCUGUUUGAGUAUCAUGAACACCUCAACUCUUCAUGGUUUUCCGUGAUGAGCUUGGACUUUGGGGGUCUUGCUGGCCUAUGGUCAGCUCCUCUAAAAUAAAUCAGCUUGCCAGUGUUUGGUGGGUAUCACAGGUGUGAUAACUAUCUACGCUUGUGGUUUUCCACCAGGUAACCUUCAGCAGUGGAGGUUCGCUGGAGCUCACAGAUGUGUCUCUCCUCAGUGAGGACAGCUCUUUGAAUGUUUGAUCUCAAAUCAGGUAGGACUACCCGCUGAACUUAAGCAUAUCAAUAAGCGAGGA
rnacentral:misc_RNA from 1 species